rnacentral:rRNA from 1 species
AACGAACGCUGGCGGCAUGCCUAACACAUGCAAGUCGAACGAGCUCUUCGGAGUUAGUGGCGCACGGGUGCGUAACGCGUGGGAAUCUGCCCUUGGGUACGGAAUAACUCAGAGAAAUUUGUGCUAAUACCGUAUAAUGUCUUCGGACCAAAGAUUUAUCGCCCAAGGAUGAGCCCGCGUAAGAUUAGCUUGUUGGUGAG